CCUACGGGAGGCAGCAGUGAGGAAUAUUGGUCAAUGGGCGCGAGCCUGAACCAGCCAAGUCGCGUGAGGGAAGACGGCCCUACGGGUUGUAAACCUCUUUUGCCGGGGAGCAACGGGCGCUACGUGUGUCGCCACUGAGAGUACCCGGAGAAAAAGCAUCGGCAAACUCCGUGCCAGCAGCCGCGGUAAUACGGAGGAUGCGAGCGUUACCCGGAUUUAUUGGGUUUAAGGGUUGCGUAGGCGGAGCGUUAAGUCAGUGGUCAAAUUGAGGGGCUCAACCCCUUCCCGCCAUUGAUACUGGCGCUCUUGAGUGGAAGAGAGGUAUGCGGAAUGCGUGGUGUAGCGGUGAAAUGCAUAGAGAUCACGCAGAACCCCGAUUGCGAAGGCAGCAUGCCGGCUUCCUACUGACGCUGAAGCACGAAAGCGUGGGGAUCGAACAGGAUUAGAUACCCGGGUAGUC
rnacentral:rRNA from 1 species